UACGUAGGGGGCAAGCGUUGUCCGGAUUUAUUGGGCGUAAAGAGCGUGUAGGCGGCCAGGUAGGUCGGUUGUGAAAACUCGAGGCUCAACCUCGAGAUGUCGACCGAAACCAUCUGGCUAGAGUCCGGAAGAGGAGAAUGGAAUUCCCGGUGUAGCGGUGAAAUGCGCAGAUAUCAAGCAGAACACCUGCGGCGAAGGCGGCCUUCUGGACGAUGACUGACGCUGAGACGCGAAAGCGUGGGGAGCAAACAGG
rnacentral:rRNA from 1 species